GGCGACUCCAUCAAGGACCACACAAACCCCAGAAGUAGAAGAUUAGAGUGAUGAGUUUGGGAAACAUGAAAGCAAUGGCAACAGGGUUGAGUGAGCUGAUGCUUGCAAGCAUUUAGAGGAGGCCGUGCACGAUGAGGAAACAGAGACCCAGAGACGUUCAGCAACUUGCCCAGAGUCCCACAGACGGCUGUGGGGAAGGAUCCCACCAUGAGCCCUCCCAUUCGAACCCUCCUGCCCCAGGCCAGGCACAGCAGGAAGUGAGCCCUGGAGAAGGAAGAGGACACACUUCUGCUUUUCUUUGACACUGGACGCAUGUGGGUUGGGGGGUACAGCUGAUGCCUGACCUAGCAUUUGAGAUCUCCCAAGUGGGCCCA